rnacentral:tRNA from 1 species
GGCCCGUUGGAGAAGCGGUUAACUCACAAGCCUUUCACGCUUGCAUGCACGGGUUCGAAUCCCGUACGGGUCACCA